AACGAGUCUUGAAUUAACGGCGAUGAUGGCUACAUAGCCUGGGUUUAAAUCCCCUCAAAAAUCAACGAAUAUAAAUAGCUGGGUAGAUCAUCCUGCAACCAGGAUGCUUAUUACGUCGUAUAAGCCUAAAGUAUAUGUUAUUUAAUUAGGGCACGUCAUAACUGACGUGUAUUCAGGUGUGAUUUACCAUUCCCGCCUUCCUCGGCACAUAGAACAGCAUCAGAGAGAUGGAGGCAAACGACAAGAAAGCAUACGCCGUCCUUGAAUUUCAUGCAAGUCGUUCAGUCAAAACAGUUCAACGACGAUUCAGGACAAAGUUCAAUGCCGAACCACCGUCUGCGAAUUCCAUACGGCGAUGAGCAAGUACGAGACGUCCGGAUGUUCAGCAAGAUAGCACGAACCUGAUGCUCAAAGGCUUGCACCUGGCUUCGUCCUGCAGAGUGCGGUACAAGUGCACCACUUGGAACACGACACUCUCUAGCAUGGCUCGGGUCAUGUGCUGCUUCCCGGUGGUCUGCUUCAGCCCGAUGAAGCCAGCAGACGCUUGGAAGUUUUUCACCGGCACCUGGACAACAGUUCAUCACCUGGUCAUCUAAGUUUCAAUAACUAUUUAAUCUAUACCAGGGCAAUCGAGAUGAAAUAAGGGUUCAAAAAUUUAAAAAGGGUUAAAGACCGUAAAAAAUUACUGUGGCCAUAACCGUGAAUGUGAACUGUGAGUAUUGCAUAACCUGUCUUAGCAAUAAACUUGAAAUUAUGUACUGUGAGGGUCAUUCAAAUAUAAACUGAAAUUCUUUAUACAAAUAAUAAUACAAAUGAAUUACCUUAUUUUCUACAUCCAUUUUCUCUACAAGCUAUUUGAUCCCUUCAUGACAAAAAUAAGAUGGUUGUCCAGUAGCCAACUGUGCAAGUACCGUUCGACCGCAGCGUCAUCUUCAAAUCUUUCCCCUCCUGAUGCCUUCUUCAAUGGACCAAACAUAUUGCCUUCCACAAGCUCACACACUGUCUAAGUAUUUUCUUCAUUGACGCUGGUCGCAGAACACCGUUUAUGGCUUUGAUUUUCCACUUCAUCUCGACCAUUUCAAAACUUCUGGACCCAAUAUCAUACUUGGUUUUUACUCAGAGUAGCAUCACCGAACUGUGCUAGAGUCUGUUCAAAAUUUCAUUCGAUUUCACGCCUUCGUUGGCGAGAAAACAAACAAUAAUGCCUUGUGCAACUGGCACUGUUACUAUCAUAGCGAUACUUCUCCCGCUCUCGACAGCCCUGAUCUACACUCUACCACUAUGCAUGCCUCAGGUAAUUUGUGGACCUGGCCAGUACCUGACACACCUGCUGGAGAGUUCACCACAAAAAUGUUUACAAAAUCCGAACAAGAGCAAGAGCAAUUUUGAUUUGUCCACUGAGAGUUUCGCAUUACAUGAGUACCUAACAUUUUUCCUCUUAACUUGAAACAAUUUCCUAUGCAAUAUUUUUAUAUUGUUAUAGAAGAAUUUGCAAAUUUAUUUUAGAUCGAAAAUACACUGUUUCUAGCACAUUCAUGCUCAAUACAAUAGAAUAGACUACACUCCUUUCAAACCUGAUUUGUGUUUGUACAGGACUCAAAUCUCUAUACAUACUCAAAGCGAACCCAGUCAGACACCUAUUCGCUCUUUAUUAUGCUAAAAACACAGGGAAUAAAUUUGCCAUAGUGUAGGUCUUUGGCCACCCAGGACUUGAAAACAUUUAGCUAUAAAACCAUGAAUUUAAGCGCUGUCACACUACUUAUAGCUAACACAUGAUAUUCUUCAAAUAUUUCUUUUAAUCUUUUUCCUAAUAUAUUUUAAUCAACUUAGUUCCCUGAAUUGUAAGUGCAUUUCACUGCAUUAUUUUUUUACCAAUCCUUUUUUUAGUUUUACAUUAAAAACACUAAUAAUUUUAACAGUAUCUCACCCUUGUCAUCAAUUGUAAUAUCCUUUAACAUUCAAAAAGUUGGGUAAUCCAACAAACUUGAUAAGUAUAGCAUAAGGUGUACAUAGGUACUUUAAAUCUUUUGCCAAAUGUGUGUUUUAUGAUAGUUGGUAGACUUACCUUUCAUUGUUACCAUAUUCAGAAAGUGGAUGCUGGAGUAAGUUGUCGAAAAAGCAAGCACGGUGUUGGACGUGUCUUCUAUGUGUCAUGUCAUGAUUUAUAAAAGCAAGUUGGCCUACUAGAUCAUUCUUAAAUCCAGUCGUUCUUCCAUUUGUGAGUAUUUGAUGUUUCCCAUGUGUUUGUUCUUUGUCUAUCGAACAACACUCAUGUUUGCCAUUACAAAUUAAUUACAGUUCACCCACACUAUUACCAAACCCCUUAUUUGGUCAAUUGCCUUUCACACUAAACUGUCCAUUACAUAUUACACAUCACUUUACAUAUAGGUACAUAUCACUGAUCAUAAAAAAUUUGAAUACAAUUCCUAAGAAAACUAUUGUUACAUGUGUACAGGAGGCGAGGCCACGACACAUCAUGCUAGGUACCUGAGCGGCGUGGCGGCUCUGCACAACCACUGCACGAGCGCAUACCUUCGGGGAUGAGGGCGGCCCGGCCUUGCUACCCUCCUGCCCCCACGCCCUCCAUCCUCAGCAUUGUCAUCCAACCCUUAGCAGCCUGGCUUACUGGCAUUGCCACGUGGAGUGGCGUGAAUAACGCACCGUUGUCCUGGAACCUUUGAGCUGUGACUGCACUUCUUCGAACAGGGACGUCCCUGACACUCUGGAUGGUCGUUACAAAAUGAAAAAAAGGAAAGAAAAA